rnacentral:rRNA from 1 species
GACGAACGCUGGCGGCGUGCUUAACACAUGCAAGUCGAACGCUGAAGCUUGGUGCUUGCACUGGGUGGAUGAGCGGCGAACGGGUGAGUAAUACGUGAGUAACCUGCCCUUGACUCUGGGAUAAGCCUGGGAAACUGGGUCUAAUACUGGAUACGACAUGUCACCGCAUGGUGGUGUGUGGAAAGGGUUUUACUGGUUUUGGAUGGGCUCACGGCCUAUCAGCUUGUUGGUGGGGUAAUGGCUCACCAAGGCGACGACGGGUAGCCGGCCUGAGAGGGUGACCGGCCACACUGGGACUGAGACACGGCCCAGACUCCUACGGGAGGCAGCAGUGGGGAAUAUUGCACAAUGGGCGGAAGCCUGAUGCAGCGACGCCGCGUGAGGGAUGACGGCCUUCGGGUUGUAAACCUCUUUCAGCACGGAAGAAGCGAAAGUGACGGUACGUGCAGAAGAAGCGCCGGCUAACUACGUG